rnacentral:rRNA from 1 species
UACGGGGGGUGCAAGCGUUGUUCGGAAUUACUGGGCGUAAAGGGUGCGUAGGCGGCCUGUUAAGUUGGAUGUGAAAACUCUGGGCUCAACCCAGAGCCUGCAUCCAAAACUGGCAGGCUAGAGUUCUGGAGGGGGUAGCGGAAUUCCUGGUGUAGCGGUGAAAUGCGUAGAUAUCAGGAGGAACACCGGUGGCGAAGGCGGCUACCUGGACAGAAACUGACGCUGAGGCACGAAAGCUAGGGGAGCAAACAGG